rnacentral:rRNA from 1 species
UCCGUAGGUGGAUAAUUAAGUCAGAGGUGAAGUCCUGCAGCUCAACUGUAGAAUUGCCUUUGAUACUGGUUAUCUUGAAUUAUUGUGAAGUGGUUAGAAUAUGUAGUGUAGCGGUGAAAUGCAUAGAUAUUACAUAGAAUACCAAUUGCGAAGGCAGAUCACUAACAAUAUAUUGACACUGAUGGACGAAAGCGUGGGGAGCGAACAGGAUUAGAUACCCUGGUAGUC